CAGGUUGCUAGAAAUGUCACCUCUUUGCGGUACACACAUGCAGAGUGAGCAGCUUCAGAGGGUUUGUGUUACUGUUGCUUUGAGUAAGGCAGCAUGCUUUGGAACUCUGGAAGGGCUUGUGGAGCUGGUUUGGGGAUAUUGCUGAUUUUCUUAGUUCAAGCAGAGCAUGUGUGCUGUUCAUGGGCUACACAAACAUAUAGCCCCCAGAUGCGCAACGGUAACAGAUAUGUUGGCUUUCCACAGCAAGAUGGUAGACUAAGAAGACUGGAUGGCAGCUAUUCCCAGGAUCAAAUCAGACAGGCCUUCAUUUCUCCACGUGUAGCUCACAGCAGUAGCCUCAGCACAGGGACUACAGUUAACAGAGGCUAUAGUGAAGGGCUUUCUGCUAGCAGCUAUGAACAGACUGCUUCAGAACCAGCCCGAAACUUGGUAAGACUUUCUGCUGUUGCAGGUAGGAACUCGCUGAAUAGACUUGGUGAAAACCAGAACAGCCUUCCUGAUAGCAGAAAGGAAAUGACUUGGCCAUUUCAGCGUGGUACACUCCAAACUAGCAAGGCUGGAUCCAGCAGCUCUGCGUCUCUUCAAACUCUUACAGGAAGCUCCUCUUUUAAACCAGCCUCUUUCCAGAAACCCGCCAGUGCUGUUGUACGGGGGCAAACAUCAGCAAGCGCUCCUGCAAAACGGGUCACUCAACAUAAGUCUGAACCUUUGGGUAUCUCUAGAGACUUCGCUGUCCAUGGAUUUGGGGAGACAUGGCUUCCUGUGAAUACUGGAAACACCCAAAUAGGCUACAUGCCAUCUUCCACUUCGAACAUGAUGGUGAGCUACAAACCCAGCUACACCUUCACAGACCAGAGGCCCACCAGUAGCAACCCUCAAGCACCAUGGGGAAUCAGGAAUCCAGCUCAGGAACUUCAUAGUCUGCCUGCCUAUGGAAGUAACACGGUGGGAAAUUUGGCUCAACGCUUUGCUCCAACCAGGAUCUAUGAGGUCCCUGAACACUUUGGAGGCUAUGCUAUCAGACGGCUUGGUGACGAAGAGGUUGACCAGGUGCCACAAACUACCACACCUCCCCCACAGCAGAUGGAAUAUCUCAACCCAAGCAAAUCUGAGCAUCCGUAUGCCAAAUGGAUGAGAAUCAAGUUGCGUCCAAGAUACUAGAAGGUGCAGCAAGAAGACAUGACUGAACAUUUUCUUAAAUAAAUUAUUGAAUUGAAA
ensembl:lncRNA